AGUGAACGCUGGCGGUAGGCCUAACACAUGCAAGUCGAACGGCAGCACAGUAAUAGCUUGCUCUUACUGGUGGCGAGUGGCGGACGGGUGAGGAAUACAUCUGAAUCUACUUUUUCGUGGGGGAUAACGUAGGGAAACUUACGCUAAUACCGCAUACGACCUACGGGUGAAAGCAGGGGAUCUUCGGACCUUGCGCGAUUGAAUGAGCCGAUGUCGCAUUAGCUAGUUGGCGGGGUAAAGGCCCACCAAGGCGACGAUACGUAGCUGGUCUGAGAGGAUGAUCAGCCCCCCUGGACCUGAGCCAAGGUACAGACUACUCCGGGACGCAGCAGUGGGGAAUAUUGGACAAUGGGAGGAAGCAUGAUCCAGACCUACCGCGUCGGUGAAGAAGGCAUUCGGGUUGUAAAGGCCUUCUGUUGGGAAAGAAAAGCAGCAGGUUAAUACCCCGCUGUUCUGACGGUACCCAAAGAAUAAGCACCGGCUAACUUCGUG
rnacentral:rRNA from 1 species